AGCAGCCGCGGUAAUUCCAGCUCCAAUAGCGUAUAUUAAAGUUGUUGCAGUUAAAAAAGACUCGUAGUUGAAUUUCUAGGCCUGGCUGGGCGGGUCCGCCUUUUGGGUGAGUACUGCCUGUGGUCGGGUCCUACCUUCUGGCGAAGCGUCAUGGCCUUAACCGGCCGUGGCGGGGAACCAGGACUUUUACUGUGAAAAAAAUUAGAGUGUUCAAAGCAGGCAUUCGCUUGAAUACAUUAGCAUGGAAUAAUGGAAUAGGACAGUGGUUCUAUUUGUUGGUUUUCUAGGACCGUUGUAAUGAUUAAUAGGGAUAGUUGGGGGCAUUAGUAUUCAAUUGUCAGAGGUGAAAUUCUUGGAUUUAUUGAAGACUAACUACUGCGAAAGCAUUUGCCAAGGAUGUUUUCAUUAAUCAAGAACGAAAGUUAGGGGAUCGAAGACGAUCAGAUACCGUCGUAGUCUUAACCAUAAACUAUGCCGACUAGAAUCGGGCGAUGUUGACAAAAUGACGACGCUCGGCGAC
rnacentral:rRNA from 1 species